rnacentral:rRNA from 1 species
GACGAACGCUGGCGGCGUGCCUAAUACAUGCAAGUCGAACGCAGUGGGGACGGGUGGGUAACACGUGGGUAACCUCCCAUCAGAGGGGAUAACACUUGGACACAGGUGCUAAACCGAUACUGAUGGAUGGACCCGCGGUGCAUUAGCUAGUUGGGGGGGUAACGGCUCACCAAGGCCACGAUGCAUAGCGGGCCUGAGGGGGGGACGGGCAACAUGGGAACUGGGACAGGGCCCAAACUCCUACGGGAGGAAGCAGUAGGGAAUCUUCGGCAAUGGACGAAAGUCGGAGCGGGAAACGCCGCGUGAGUGAAGAAGGUUUCCGGAUCUUAAAACUCUGUUGUUAGAGAAGCGGUAUCUAACCAGAAAGCCACGGCUAACUACGUGCCAGCAGCCGCGGUAAUUC